GACAGAGGGUGCAAACGUUGCUCGGAAUUACUGGGCGUAAAGCGCGUGUAGGUGGAUUGGUGUGUCAGAUGUGAAAGCCCUGGGCUCAACCCAGGAACUGCACCUGAAACUACCAGUCUUGAGUGGUGGAGAGGGAAGUGGAAUUCCUGGUGUAGAGGUGAAAUUCGUAGAUAUCAGGAGGAACACCAGUGGCGAAGGCGGCUUCCUGGACCAAUAUUGACGCUGAGGAGCGAAAGCCAGGGGAGCAAACGGG
rnacentral:rRNA from 1 species